AUGCACUAUGCUGGUGAUCGGCAGGCCCGGACCAAGAGUAUAGGACACAGGACUGAUUUCUUGUGUAAUGAGACAGAGAACGGCCCUCCUCCUCCUCUCCAGACCCACAGCCUCAGAGAGUUUGAACAGGUAAGGGCUUGUCUUCCUCUCUCCUAUUCUUAUGGUCUGGUACAGUGUGGUAGUCAGUGUUCAGACCUGU
rnacentral:lncRNA from 1 species